UACGUAGGGUGCAAGCGUUGUCCGGAAUUAUUGGGCGUAAAGAGCUCGUAGGCGGUCUGUCACGUCGGAUGUGAAAACUCGGGGCUCAACCCCGAGCCUGCAUACGAUACGGGCAGACUUGAGUUCGGCAGGGGAGACUGGAAUUUCCGGUGUAGCGGUGAAAUGCGUAGAUAUCGGAAGGAACACCCGUGGCGAAGGCGGCUUCCUGGCUUCAGACUGACGCUGAGGUGCGAAAGCGUGGGUAGCGAACAGG
rnacentral:rRNA from 1 species